CUUACACAUGCAAGUCGAGCGGUAAGGCCCUUCGGGGUACACGAGCGGCGAACGGGUGAGUAACACGUGGGUGAUCUGCCUUGCACUCUGGGAUAAGCCUGGGAAACUGGGUCUAAUACCGGAUAUGAGCCUGGACUGCAUGGUCUGGGUUGGAAAGGUUUACUGGUGCGAGAUGGGCCCGCGGCCUAUCAGCUUGUUGGUGGGGUAACGGCCUACCAAGGCGACGACGGGUAGCCGACCUGAGAGGGUGACCGGCCACACUGGGACUGAGACACGGCCCAGACUCCUACGGGAGGCAGCAGUGGGGAAUAUUGCACAAUGGGCGAAAGCCUGAUGCAGCGACGCCGCGUGAGGGAUGACGGCCUUCGGGUUGUAAACCUCUUUUGACAGGGACGAAGCGCAAGUGACGGUACCUGUAGAAGAAGCACCGGCCAACUACGUGCCAGCAGCCGCGGUAAUACGUAGGGUGCGAGCGUUGUCCGGAAUUACUGGGCGUAAAGAGCUUGUAGGCGGUUUGUCGCGUCGAUUGUGAAAACUUGCAGCUCAACUGCAAGCUUGCAGUCGAUACGGGCAGACUAGAGUACUUCAGGGGAGACUGGAAUUCCUGGUGUAGCGGUGAAAUGCGCAGAUAUCAGGAGGAACACCGGUGGCGAAGGCGGGUCUCUGGGAAGUAACUGACGCUGAGAAGCGAAAGCGUGGGUAGCGAACAGGAUUAGAUACCCUGGUAGUCCACGCCGUAAACGGUGGGUACUAGGUGUGGGUUUCCUUCCACGGGAUCCGUGCCGUAGCUAACGCAUUAAGUACCCCGCCUGGGGAGUACGGCCGCAAGGCUAAAACUCAAAGGAAUUGACGGGGGCCCGCACAAGCGGCGGAGCAUGUGGAUUAAUUCGAUGCAACGCGAAGAACCUUACCUGGGUUUGACAUACACCGGAAAGCUGU
rnacentral:rRNA from 1 species